UAAAACUUGCCUCGAUCUUUCUUCUCUUUCCCAACUCGAGUUUCUUCGAUCUUCCUUCAACAAUUUCGAUUCUUCUCACUGAUUCAACAAUUUCGAUUUUCUUCUCACCCAAACAACAGUUCAAUCACUGCCUUUUUUUGUUUUUUUUUUUUUUCGUUUUCAACGUUUUCAAUCACUGCCUCGAUCUGCAACUAAGAACUCAUCCGCGCGCUGCUGUGUGUUUGCAAGUUGGUGUUUUCAAUCGUCGCUCCAAUCACG
rnacentral:lncRNA from 1 species